rnacentral:rRNA from 1 species
CACGUAGGGGGCAAGCGUUGUCCGGAUUUAUUGGGCGUAAAGAGCUCGUAGGCGGUUCGGUAAGUUGGGUGUGAAACCUCCAGGCUCAACCUGGAGACGCCACCCGAUACUGCUGUGACUAGAGUCCGGUAGGGGAGCGUGGAAUUCCUGGUGUAGCGGUGAAAUGCGCAGAUAUCAGGAGGAACACCAGCGGCGAAGACGGCGCUCUGGGCCGGAACUGACGCUGAGGAGCGAAAGCGUGGGGAGCGAACAGG